AUCCAGAUGACGAGUCCCAAAUAGGACGUGACAUGCGUUCUGGAU
rnacentral:hammerhead_ribozyme from 1 species